UGGGGGAUAUUGCACAAUGGGCGAAAGCCUGAUGCAGCGACGCCGCGUGGGGGAUGAAGGCCUUCGGGUUGUAAACUUCUUUUGCUCUGAACAAGGCAUGCCUUUGGGGUGUGUUGAGUGUAGGGGUUGAUUAGCGCCGGCUAACUACGUGCCAGCAGCCGCGGUAAUACGUAGGGCGCGAGCGUUGUCCGGAAUUAUUGGGAGUAAAGGGCUUGUAGGUGGGUGGUUGCGUCUGUCGUGAAAGCUCAUGGCUUAACUGUGGGUUUGCGGUGGGUACGGGCUGGCUUGAGUGCAGUAGGGGGGGCUGGAAUUCCUGGUGUAGCGGUGGAAUGCGGAGAUAUCAGGAGGAAUACCGGUGGCGGAGGCGGGUCUCUGGGCUAUUGCUGACGCUGAGGGGCGAAAGGGUUGGGAGCGAACAGG
rnacentral:rRNA from 1 species